rnacentral:rRNA from 1 species
AUAGAUAAGGGAAGUUAGUAAAAUAGAUCUAUAACUUUAAGAUAAGGAUUAGCUCUAAGGGUUAGGUACGUUAGGCUUUAGGCAGACAGCCUAGGAGCAGGUUGCUACUAGCUAAGUAACUAGCUAGAGGCUUCUAGUAUCUAGGUUCUAAUGCUUUUAGUAGGCUUUAGCUGUCUGGCGUAUAAUUAAUAACUAACUUAGAACUAGUAUAGAUAAGGGGAAUCUAACUAUCUAAUUAAAACAUAGUAUUAUAAUAGCUAGAAAGUGGUGUUAACGUAAUAUAAUUUCUACCUAGUGCUCUAAAUAUUAAAGUAAAGUAAUUUAACUAAGCGUAGGUAAACAGUAGGAGUAACUAUAACUCUCUUAAGGUAGCUAAAUACCUUAUUAUCUAAUUAGUAACGUAUAUAAAUAGAUUAAUAAGAUUCCUACUAUCCUUAUUUACUAUCUAGUAAAACUAUAGCUAAGAGAACAGGCUUAGCAGAAUUAGUAGGGAAAGAAGACCUUAUUAAGCUUAACUUUAGUUUAAUAUUAUAAAAAGAUAUAGGAGGUAUAGAAUAGGUAGGAGCUUUAGCGCUAGUAAAAUACUACUACUCCUAUUGUUUUUUUACUUAUUUAAUAAAGUGGGGCUAGAUUUACGUCUAACUUCUAGUUUUAAGGUCCUUUAUAGGCUAACCUAGGUUAAAGACAUUAUUAGGUAGGGAGUUUAGCUAGGGCGGCAUAUCUAUUAAACUAUAAUGUAGGUGUCCUAAGGGGGGCUUAUAGAGAAUAAAAAUCUCUAGUAGAAUAAAAGGGUAAAAGUCCCCUUAAUUUUAAUUUUUAGUGUAAAUAUAAACUAUAAAAGUGUAGCCUAUUAAUCCUUUAGUCCCUUAAAAUUUAAGGCUAGAGGUGCUAGAAAAGUUACUAUAAGGAUAACUAGCUUAUAGCAGCUAAGCGUUUAUAGUAACGUUACUUUUUAAUCCUUUAAUAUUAGCUUUUCUUAUUAUACUAAAGUAGAAUUUAGUAAGCGUUAGAUUAUUUACCUACUAAUAAGGAAUAUAAGCUAGGUUUAGACUAUUAUAAGAUAGGUUAGUUUUACCUUACUAAUAACCUUAUUAUAAUAGUAAUUAAGCUUAGUAUAAAAGGAACUGCUUAUUUAGAUAAUUAGUUUUUAUAGCUAUCUAACUAAGCAGUGCUAUAACGCUACUAUCUGCUAGAUAAUAGCUAAACGCCUCUAAGUUAGAAUCUAUACUAAAACGUAAUAAUACCUUCUGUACGUAUAGAUAGAUAUAAAUAGGCUUUAGCUUAGCGUCUUAGUAGGUAAUUCCUUUACUACUCUUAAAGUAAGUAGUAGUAUUUUAUAAAUUAUAAUUUU